rnacentral:rRNA from 1 species
CCUAAGGUAGCGAAAUUCCUUGUCAGGUAAGUUCUGACCCGCACGAAUGGCGUAAUGAUUUGGGCACUGUCUCGACAGCCCGCCCGGCGAAAUUGUAGUACUGGUGAAGAUGCCAGUUACCCGCAACUAGACGGAAAGACCCCAUGGAGCUUUACUGCAGUUUAAUACUGGGAAUCGGUAAUUCAUGUACAGGAUAGGUGGGAGACUGAGAAGCACGGCCGUCAGGUCGUGUGGAGUCACCGGUGGGAUACCACUCUUGGAUUGCUGGUUUCCUAACCUGCGGCCCUGAAUCGGGUCGGGGGACACUGUUAGACGGGCAGUUUGACUGGGGCGGUCGCCUCCAAAAGAGUAACGGAGGCGCUCAAAGGUUCGUUCAGCACGGACGGAAAUCGUGCAUUGAGUGUAAACGCAUAAACGAGCCUAACUGCGAGACCGACGGGUCGAGCAGUAACGAAAGUUGGAGUUAGUGAUCCGGUGGUAUGUGAGUGGAAAUGCCAUCGCUCAACGGAUAAAAGCUACCCUGGGGAUAACAGGCUGAUCUCCCCCAAGCGUCCACAGCGACGGGGAGGUUUGGCACCUCGAUGUCGGCUCGUCGCAUCCUGGGGCUGUAUUCGGUCCCAAGGGUUUGGCUGUUCGCCAAUUAAAGCGGCACGCGAGCUGGGUUCAGAACGUCGUGAGACAGUUCGGUCCCUAUCUGUUGCGGGCGUAAGAGAUUUGAAGGGAGCUGUCCUUAGUACGAGAGGACCGGGAUGGACGUACCUCUGGUGCACCAGUUGUCCUGCCAAGGGCAUAGCUGGGUAGCUAUGUACGGACGAGAUAAACGCUGAAAGCAUCUAAGCGUGAAACUCUCCCUAAGAUGAGAUCUCUCAUCCUUUAUGGAGUAAGGGCCCAGAAAGACGAUCUGGUUGAUAGGCCGGAGGUGGAAGUGCAGUAAUGUAUGCAGCUGACCGGUACUAAUAGCCCGAGGGCUUGACCUA